GGCCUCGUAGCUCAGCUGGUAGAGCAUGCGCGUACAAAGCGUAGGCGGCGUCCAUGCGUGGGUUCGAAUCUCACCGAGGCUC
rnacentral:tRNA from 1 species